rnacentral:lncRNA from 1 species
UGCACUCCAACCUAGGCAACGGAGCAAGACUGUCUAAAACAAAGACUAGCUGGAGAAUCCUGCCAGGAAAAGGCCCUCAGCCUCCAACAGCUCUGCUCACUCGAAGCUGGAAGAUGUGGCUCUAGAGACGCAUCAGGAACAAGCCACGACUCCCCACUUGGAGAAAUCAAUGGGGAAAGAGACGGAGGCAAAGGAGAACCAUCUCACUGGUGAGGCGACGCUGUCUGACUCAUCGUCCCUGUACCUCCCAAAGCCACUGCCCUCCCACACCUGGGCAACAGUGGCCCCAACCCCAGGCCCAGCCCUCUUGCAGGAAGGAAGAGGACUGAAUGGAGGGCGUGGCAGGCUGAAAGGACGUGGCUUCCUCAAACCCCUUGGUAAAGGGCCUCUGGGGCCACCUGGCAGGGAGGGGCUGGCACACCAGGAAGUAGCCUUCUCCCGGGAGUUCAGCUAGAGCCCAGGUCCUGUCCCCAAGUGGCCUCCAGAGCCACCUUUUCAGAAAAGGACUUACUGUCUUGUCAUCCCCUGGACCCAAGAUGAGGGUGCUAGGACGCCCUCCCACACCACCCCAGCUUACCCAGGGGCACACCUCAGGAAAUUUCCCCUAAAGACCUGAGGAAUCACCGAAUGAAAGGGGCUUUUUACAAACUGGAAACUUAAGUGGAGUGCCAAUACACAACAUGGAUUGCACCAGGCUAGGUCUAAGAUAAAACCAGACUGUGGACAACAGGACAGAUAAGACACACAUGGCUCUGCACUGCCUGGGUCUGUUAUUGUGUGGAGGAAUGUCUUAGUCUGUUGCUCCUGUGGGUGUCGCUAAAGCACGAACCAGGGGUCUUCAUCCUUAGAAAGCAGUUAGACACCUGAGAACCAAUCCCAAACUGCAGCCUUCCACAGAACCUUCUGGAACCUUCUGGAAUGCAACUCAUUACUGCCAGAGGCUCUUUGAUGAGAGUCUACUCUCCACCAUUUGUCUUCAAAGAGAAUACCCACAUAUUAUCUUUCUGUGGAAAGGCUUGGAAAUCUAGUGUAUAUUUUACACUAAGAGCAUAUCUCAAUUAAGAUGGCCACAUCUCAAGUGCCCAGUAGCCACAUGUGGCCUGAGGCCAUGACUCUGGGCAGUACAGCUUUAGGUCAAGCGUGCCUCACAAAGGGACCAGUGGAGGUGCCUCAGUUUACUUGGGAGCUUGGCCUCUCCAGCUUGCCCUCCUACUGCCUGGAAGAAGAUUAGUGUCCUCUUGCCUUCUCUAGCCCCUUUCCCAAGAACCCUCCCAGAAUUUCGUCCUAUGAAGGGCCAGGGGUGCAAGGAGUCACCCACACAAUGACAGGACCCACCAGCAAUACCAGAAGUUGGCUAGCCCUACUCAUCCAAAUUCCCUUCUGCCAGCUGGACAUCACAAGGAUUUCAGACUGCCAUCCUGUGACAACUCCAUUUUGGGGUCUGGGGAUGUAAGGGUUACUGUAUUAGUCCAUUCUCACUCUGCUAAUAAAGACAUACCUGAGACUGG